AACAGCAUAUGAUCAGUGUCCUCUCCACAGUCACUGAGCACACAGGUCCUCGCCAUGGGAUGGAGUUGGAUCAUCCUCUUCCUGGUGACAGCAGCUACAGGUGUCCACUCCCAGGUCCAGCUGCUGCAAUCUGAGUCUGAGCUGGUGAAGCCUGGAGCUUCAGUGAAGCUGUCCUGCAAGACUUCAGGAUACACCUUCACUACCUAUUAUAUGCACUGGGUAAAGCAGAGGCCUGGACAGAGCCUGGAGUGGAUUGGAUGGAUUUAUCCUAAUAAUGGUAAUACUAAGUACAAUCAGAAGUUCCAGGGCACGGCCACCCUGACUGCAGAUACAUCCUCCAGCACAGCCUACAUGGAGCUCAAGAGCCUGACUUCUGAGGAUUCUGCAGUCUAUUACUGUGCAAGAGACACAGUGUUGCAACCACAUCCUGAGUGUGUCCAGUGUGAAGUACAGCUGGUGGAGUCUGGAGGAGGCUUAGCGCAGCCUGGAAAGUCCCUGAAACUCUCCUGUGCAGCCUCUGGAUUCACCUUCAGUGAUGCUGCCAUGAACUGGUUCCGCCAGGCUCCAGAAAAAGGGACUGGAGUGGGUAGCAAGCAUAAGAACUAA